GCUGUCCUGCACUUCCAGCACCACAGACAUGAGUGCUCUAUUGUGCCUGUGACAUCAGGGCAAAGAAGAAAUGGCUGUUUCUACACUCAGUGUUCAGAAACCAGUGAGCACUAAGAAUGGUUUAUAGCCUAACAUUU